CAGCAUUCGCCAUGAUUUCAGACAGAAUAACGACAACAAAGGCAGAUUGAUAACAAUUCAUUCUUACAGUCGUCUAAAAUAAAUGAUUAAACUCUGAAUCGGAAAAAGAGCACAGUCUGCCAUGCUGACAGUUGCAGGACGAGAAGAUCCAUUGUGCAGACUACUUUGGCCACAAAGAUGUUGCUGGUCAGUGCAUGAAGGUCCUGUGUGAAGUCUUCAAGGAGCAGAACAAAACUGGGCCUGAAUAUACUUUAAAUUACCAAGAUGGAACUGCCAAAGGGGAAUGAGUUGCAAUCUACUGCAGAGAUAGCCUGCAAAGUUCUGUCAUACUUUCCAGGUUGAUGCCCAAACAGUUAGAGCUUCUAAUUUUAAAAAUGAAACUCUCCAGAAAUAAGUCUCUCCCUGUUGCCGCCUUUUAUAGACCCCCCCUCAGCUGCCAGCUGUGCCCUGGACACCAUAUGUGAAUUGAUUGCCCCCAGUCUAUCUUCAGAGUUUGUUCUGUUGGGUGACCUAAACUGGGAUAUGCUUAACACCUCGGCCGUCCUACAAUCUAAACUAGAUGCCCUCAAUCUCAAACAAAUUAUCAAGGAACCCGCCAGGUACAACCCUAAAUCCGUAAACAUGGGCAACCUCAUAGAUAUUAUCCUGACCAACUUGCCCUCCAAAUACACCGCUGCUGCUUUCAAUCAGUAUCUCAGCGAACACUGCCUCAUUGCAUGCAUCCGUUAUGGGUCUGUGGUCAAACGAACACCCCCAUGACUGUCGAACACUCCCUAAAACACUUCUGUGAGCAAGCCUUUCUAAUCGACCUGGCCCGGUUGUUCUUUACAAGUAAUUUCCUCAACAUCUUAAAUCAGCAUGUCCCAUUCAAAAAAUGUAGAAUAAGAACAGAUAUAGCACUUGGUUCACUCCAGACCUGACUGCCCUUGACCAGCACUAAAACAACCUGUGGCGUACUGCACUAGCAUCGAAUAGUCCCCGCGAUAUGCAACUUUUCAGGGAAGUCAGGAACCAAUACACACACUCAGUUAGGAAAGCAAAGGCUAGCUUUUUCAAACAUAAAUUUGCAUCCUGUAGCUCUAACUCCAAAAGGUUUGGGACACUAAAGUCCAUGGAGAUUAAGAGCACUUCCUCCCAGCUGCCCACUGCACUGAGGCUAGGAAACACUGUCACCACCGAUAAAUCCAUGAUAAUCGAGAAUUUCAAAAAAGCAUUUCUCUACGGCUGGCCAUGCAUUGCUCCUGGCUACCCCAACAGCUCCGCACCCCCAGCAGCUACUUGCCCAAGACUCCCCUGCUUCUCCUUCACCCAAAUCCAGAUAGCAGAUGUUCUGAAAGAGCUGCAAAACCUAGACCCGUACAAAUCAGCUGGGCUAGACAAUCUGGACCCUCUCAUUCUAAAAUUAUCCACCGCCAUUGUCGCAAUCCCUAUUACUAGUCUGUUUGACCUCACUUUCGUAUUGCCCGAGAUUCCUAAAGAUUGGAAAGCUGCCGCGGUCAUCCCCCUCUUCAAAGGGGGUGACACUCUUGACCCAAACUGUUACAGACCUAUAUCCAUCCUGCCCUGCCUUUCUAAAGUCUUCGAAAGCCAAGUUAACAAACAGAUCACUGACCAUUUCAAAUCCCACCGUACCUUUUCCACUGUGCACACCUGUUUCCAAGCUGGUCACGGGUGUACAUCAGCCACACUCAAGGUACUAAACGAUAUUAUAACCGCUGUCGAUAAAAGACAGUACUGUGCAGCCGUCUUCAUCAACCUGGCCAAGGCUUUUGACCCUGUCAAUCACCGUAAUUCUUAUUGGCAGACUCAACAGCCUUGGUUUCUCAAAUGACUGCCUCGCCUGGUUCUCCAACUACUUCUCAGAUAGAGUUCAGUGUGUCAAAUCGGAGGGCCUGUUGUCCGGACCUCUGGCAGUCUCUAUGGGGGUACCACAGGGUUCAACUCUCGGGCCAACUUUUCUCUGUAUAUAUCAAUGAUGUCGCUCUUGCAGCAGGUGAUUCCUUGAUCCACCUCUACGCAGACGACACCAUUCUGCAUACAUCUGGCCCUUCUUUGGACACUGUGUUAACAAACCUCCAAACGAGCUUCAAUGCCAUACAACACUCCUUCCGUGGCCUCCAACUGCUUUUAAAUGCGCGUAAAACUAAGUGCAUGCUCUGCCCGCAACCGCCCUCCCGACUAGCAUCACUACUCUGGACGGUUCUGACUUAGAAUAUGUAACUACAAAUACCUAGGUGUCUGGUUAGACUGUAAACUCUCCUUCCAGACUCAUAUUAAGCAUCUCCAAUAAAAAUAUUAAAUCUAGGAUCCGCUUCCUAUGUCGCAACAAAGCCUUCUUCACUAACGCUGCCAAACAUACCCUCGUAAAACUGACUAUUCUACCGAUUCUCGACUUCAGCGAUGUCAUUUACAAAAUAGCCUCCAACACUCUACUCAGCAAAUUGGAUGCAGUCUAUCACAGUGCCAUCCGUUUUGUCACCAAAGCCCCAUAUACCACCCACCACUGCAACCUGUAUGCUCUCGUCGGCUGGCCCUCGCUACAUAUUCGUCGCCAGACCCACUGGCUCCAGGUCAUCUAGAAGUCUUUGCUAAGUAAUGCUCCGCUUUAUCUCAGCUCACUGGUCACCAUAACACCCACCCGUAGCACACGCUCCAGCAGGUAUAUCUCACUGGUCAUCCCCAAAGCCAACACCUUCUUUGGUCACCUUUCCUUCCAGUUCUCAUUUUUUUGCCUUACAUCCUUACUCCAUUCGCACACAUUGUAUAUAGAUUUUUCUAUUGUUGUCACAAUCGUCGUAAGGAGCGGACCAAAAUGCAGCGUGGUAUGUGUUCAUGAUGAUUUUUUAAUGAAAGAAAUCACUGAACACAGACUAUACAAACGAAUAUGAAGCUAUAAUGAGAACUAUGCUGCAACUAACAUAGACAAUCACCCACAACCCAAAAUGACAAAACAGGCUACCUAAAUAUGGCUCCCAAUCAGAGACAAUGACUAACACCUGCCUCUGAUUGAGAACCAUAUCAGGCCAAACACAGAAACAGACAAACUAGACAUCCAACAUAGAAUGCCCACUCAGAUCACACCCUGACCAAACAAAACAUAGAAACAUACAAAGCAAACUAUGGUCAGGGUGUGACAUUUGUGUAAUUGAAUGUACUUUUGUUUAUCCCAUGUGUAACUCUGUGUUGUUGUUUAUUGUCACACUGCUUUGCUUUAUCUUGGCCAGGUCGCAGUUGUAAAUGAGAACUUGUUCUCAACAGGCCUACCUGGUUAAAUAAAGGUGAAAUAAAAAAUAAAUGUAAAAAAUAA